rnacentral:tRNA from 1 species
GGAGAGAUGCCCGAGAGGCUGAAGGGGCUCCCCUGCUAAGGGAGUAUGGGCUUUAAAUCCCAUCGAGGGUUCGAAUCCCUCUCUCUCCGCCA